UACAGAGGUCUCAAGCGUUGUUCGGAUUCAUUGGGCGUAAAGGGCGCGUAGGCGGCGGGGUAAGGCGGGUGUGAAAUCUCAGAGCUCAACUCUGAAAUGGCACUUGAUACUGCUCUGCUAGAGGACUGGAGAGGAGAUUGGAAUUCACGGUGUAGCAGUGAAAUGCGUAGAUAUCGUGAGGAAGACCAGUGGCGAAGGCGGAUCUCUGGACAGUUCCUGACGCUGAGGCGCGAAGGCCAGGGGAGCAAACGGG
rnacentral:rRNA from 1 species